AACGCGAAGAACCUUACCUACUCUCGACAUCCAGAGAAUUUGCUAGAGAUAGCUUAGUGCCUUCGGGAACUCUGAGACAGGUGCUGCAUGGCUGUCGUCAGCUCGUGUUGUGAAAUGUUGGGUUAAGUCCCGCAGCGAGCGCAACCCUUAUCCUUUGUUGCCAGCACGUAAUGGUGGGAACUCAAAGGAGACUGCCGGUGAUAAACCGGAGGAAGGUGGGGAUGACGUCAAGUCAUCAUGGCCCUUACGAGUAGGGCUACACACGUGCUACAAUGGCAUAUACAAAGAGAAGCGAACUCGCGAGAGCAAGCGGACCUCAUAAAGUAUGUCGUAGUCCGGAUUGGAGUCUGCAACUCGACUCCAUGAAGUCGGAAUCGCUAGUAAUCGUAGAUCAGAAUGCUACGGUGAAUACGUUCCCGGGCCUUGUACACACCG
rnacentral:rRNA from 1 species